AUACGGAGGGUGCAAGCGUUACUCGGAAUCACUGGGCGUAAAGCGCGCGCAGGCGGUCUUUUAAGUUGGAUGUGAAAGCCUACGGCUCAACCGUAGAACUGCAUCCAAAACUAUUAGACUAGAGUGUGGGAGAGGAAGAUGGAAUUAGUUGUGUAGGGGUAAAAUCCGUAGAGAUAACUAGGAAUACCAAAGGCGAAGGCAAUCUUCUGGAACACUACUGACGCUGAGGCGCGAAAGCGUGGGGAGCAAACAGGAUUAGAAACCCUAGUAGUCC
rnacentral:rRNA from 1 species